GAGGGGAUCUCGUUAAUGCAUAUAAAUAUCUCAAAGGCAGGUGCCAGGGGGAUGUUGCCGGACUCUUUCCAGUGCCCUGUGACAGGACAAGGAGCAAUGGCCAUAAUCUAAAACAUGAGAAGUUUCACCUCAAUGUGAGGAACAACUUCUUUACAUUGAGGGUGGCAUUGGAACAAACCACACAGAGAGGUCAUGGAGCCUCUCUCUCUGGAGACAUUCUAAACCUAGACCUGGAUGCAUUCCUGCAUCACCUGCUCCAGCUGCCCCUGCCUUGGCAGGGGUGUUGGACUAGAUGAACUCCUGAGGUCACUUCCAACCCUAACUAUUCUGUGAUUCUGUGACUGUUUGCAUCUGGGGUGGUCUAUAAACUCCCACCACAAUAUUUGCAUAAAUAAAAUCCAUUGUGGGUGCGUGACUGCGCCAGUGAGUUACCUCAGGCUCUUCCUGCAAGGUGGUGCUUAAAGGAAGCUGGUAUCAGUUAAGCAAAGGUGAACAUAAGGGCACAGCAAAGAAUACAAGGUCACAUUAAACAGCUGCAGAGUUGAUAGCAUUCAGGAGUAUCUGUUGUUCACCCUAGGAUGAAUCACUUAGGAUUGUCCCUACCCAGACAAGGUAUAGAUGUUACAGGCACGUGUAGGUGAAAGUUCUGUUUGCAGUUUUGCAUCCCCUGUAAAAUAAACACAGUUACAGCCCAUGUUGUCCCAGCACUUUGCUGAUCUCACCUCCGCUCCACGCUCCACCUCCCCACCAGUACCCCAACACCUGCACUUUCCCUCUGCAGCCUUCCCUCUCUUCCAGUGGGCAUCAGGGGCUACCUGGCUUUUCCUCGGUUUCCAACCUUUAUGUUCUUCACAGGUUAGAUGGAGGAAAAAUCAGCCUUUAAAUCUGUUGCUGUUCUAGAAGAAGGGAUAUCAAUACAUCAGAGUGGUCAGUAGCCCAGACCUGAAUAAACAGACAAAACUGUUGGCAGGUAGUACCAUGUCAGCUGGUGAAUCAGUUGCAUAUAAAAUUUUUCUUACAUCAACCAGCUCGUAGUAACUUAUUUCAGAAUCUUGGGAAACGUGUUUUGCUAAAGUUGGUUGUUGUUGUUUUUUUUCUUGUUUGUCUGGAAAACAUUGGUGUUCACCUUAGAAUUAAUUCAAAUUUGAGAAAAUUAGGCAAUCAUGGAACUGAAUAGAAGGCUGUAUUCCCACAGAGAAUUCAGAAUAGGCUACAUUAAAGGAAUUAUAUAUUUGCUUGAUUAUGCAAUCCAUCCCACAGACAAAAGUAUUUUUCCAAAUUGUACAAUGUUAAGUGAGGACAAACAAAAAGAAUAAAAACUAAAUUAUUUGAUAAGUAAGCUUCUGAGUGAACAGUUUGACUAUAUAUCGUGCAGCACCAACAAUAUUGUUGCUAGAAGCAUUUUCUAAAGCAGAAUCACUUCAUCAGUCUCUGCAGGUAUUUUCUCAAGAAGAUUUCCUAUUAACAAAAAUCAAAACCAGAUGGUCUGAAAUGGACUUCACAUUACAAAUACACUGCAGCUAUUUACCACCAUUUAUUACUAUAUUGUUUGCUCAGUGAUUAAUCCUGUAUAUUCACAGAUGCGCAGUGAACAGCUGUAAUAUCUUUGCAAAUAUAAUUUACAUGGUAUUUAGAUUUUACUAGGGAGAGAAAGGGAAACCUGUCAAUAGUGUAAUAACAGGAAAAUUUCCUUGUGAAGGUCAUAAAAUUAUAUUACGAAAACUGUCUCCACUAUUAAUAUACCCUCUGUGGACAGGAACUCUCAACUAUUAAUAACAGUCUUCAUUCCUAUUGCCUAAAGGCCUCAUGUAUCUGGUCCUCUUUCACGAACAUGCAUCUCACAAUAUCACGUGAUACUUUUUCCCCUUAUCUGUGCGUUAAAAACUGUACGACAAAACAAUAUCGAGCACUGUGUUUCUCCUUAGUGACGUAUGAAAAUCAAAACUUAACAGUGUUUGUAUGGUCCUUAUAUUUGUGGGUAAAAAUAUUCUUGGCACCAUUUCAAGGGACAGAUAAGAGCCCAGGACUGCAGUAGUGAAAACUUGAUAUAUUGCAGUGUUCUGUAUUAUUUUUCACAAUUAAAAAAAAAAAAAAAUAGGUGGAAGCUGCAAUAUUAUUUCAUUCCUCUCAUGCCAUUCAUUUUCUGUAGACUGUUCUUCUGACAUUAAUUUGCAUAGCUAUCGCUCUGUCCUUUUUAAAUAUGUAUUAAGAAUUUCCUCUCAUAAUAUAUGUUUAAACUGCUGAAUGGUAAUGGCUAGUGAACAGCACACUAAUCAGUAUGCUCUGUGAUUAGUGUACCUUCUGCCUUCUUACUUAACCAAUUAAUCCUCUAAUCUGUAUAUGCAGAUAGGAAUAUAUGCAACCUUAUACAUGCCUUACUGCCAAUCCUAUUUUUCCCUCUUCCUGAUCCCUUCCUAGUUGUUUAUACCCUUUCAUUUUAGGGAAUGGGCUUGAUCUGGGCCUAUCUUUCCCCUUAAAAUGCAUUUUUUCCCCAAACUUUGAAUACUGUAUACUCACUACUGCAUUAAAGCUAGCAGUAUAUUACAACAGUAUUAAUAUUGCUUGAAAAACCUCCAUAAAGGUAUGCCUGAAGUAACUGUAGUUAUGUCAUGUUAGUGUAUCCUUUAGGUCAUCUCUAGCUGUCUUCUGUGUUUAAACCAUCUCCUAUUUAGUAGAGAGGCUCCCAAAGAUGCAGAUCAACUUUGCAGUCUUACUGAGUAAUAAGUAGUGAUAUCUGAAAUGUAAUAUCAAAUAAUUAUUGUCUCUGGAACAAUAAAGGCAGAAGGCUUAUGGAAAAAAUUGUGAAGACAGCUUGUAGUUUUCAAUGUAAAAUAUAAGCUUAAUUAGAAUUUUUAAAAAUAGGUAUUUGUAUCAGUAACUGUCAUUUUUACUUUAUAUUGCCAGAACAUUUUAGGAUGACAGGAACAAAAAAAUUCUGCUGGAAUAAUGCAAACAUCUUGAAUGCCUGCAUUAGUACUAGCCUAACUCUCAGUAACUGGAAUCACAAUGUGUACUGUAAUUAGAUCUUACACAUGUAUAGGUUAAUAAAAAGUAUCUUCCUGUCC